rnacentral:lncRNA from 1 species
AGAACUAAAGCACCUUGCAAGGAAUGAAGUUGGUUCUUGAAGUCCGUGCUGACUGGCUGGGCGCAUUUGCGCAUUUGCUUCUCUGGCUGCAAAAUGGCCCGCAACAGCACUCACUAAUUUGUUGCUAACUUCAGGAACUGUGCGGACAGGUCUCUGAGGCUUCUGAGCCGCGCUAUGUCCAGUAGAUCUGGGCGCCUCAGAACCUGUCACAGCCGACGGAAGCGUUUAUCUGAGUUUCUUGUUUCUUCCCAACCUUUUGAUUUUCGCACCAUUACGCGCUCAACUAUGCCUCUUCUUUUGUCCUAUGGUCUCAACUAAUUAAAGGAAGAAAAGCAAUGCAUGUGUGUGUGUAAUUUUAAAGAAACUAUGCUGUCUUAUAGAAAACCAAACCAUCAUUUUUAUCUUUUGUACCAGGUAUUCAAGUAUGUUUUGAGCACCGACGGGCUGUGAACUGGACUGUGCUGAAAGCUCCUCUCCCUCUUCUCUCUUUAAGCCCUUUAUAUUUGACAUCAGCUUCCCCCACAUUCUCCAAAGCUUCUCUCACGUAGUUAUACAGUUGUGUUCCAGGGGAAGGAAAAUAUUGUUCGGUUUUGUUCUGCAAUUCCCCACGGUGGUUUUCGGUAAGACUUGAGACUUCCUUAUUCUAAAGUCCAAGCAGCAGUGGAAACAUUUCAAGAUCCCUUUUUGCAAUAUAACUUUUCCAAAGAUUCAAUAUUUAUUUAAACCCAAAAAUCUUGUCACUCGAAGUAAAACGAUUUUCUCCAGGGCCUGAAGAUCCUUGUUCAACUAGUUCAUGUGAUGAAAAUGUCUGUUAAGUAGGUGAUAUGGUUUGGAUGUUUGUUCCCUCCAAAUCUCAUGCUGAAAUUUGAUUCCCAGUGUCGUAGAUGGGACCUCGUGGGAGGUGAUUGGAUCAUGGGGGCAGAAUUCUCAUGAAUGGCUUAGCACCAUCCCCUUGGUGAUAAGUGAGUUUUCACUCAGUUCACUUGAGAUGUGGUUGUUUUAAGAGUCUGUGACCUCUUCUAUUUCUCUCUUGCUCCCACUCUUGCCAUGUGACAUGCUGGCUCCCCAUCACCUUCCGCCAUGAUUGUAAGCUUCUAGAGACCUCACCAGAAACUGAUGCCAGCACCAUGCUUCCUGUAAAGCCUCCAGAACCAUAAGCCAAUUAAACCUCUUUCUUUAUAAAUUACCUAGCCUUGGGCAUUUCUUUACAGCAAUGCAAAAAAAAACAAAAAUGCUGGUUUCCACAGCCAUUCUUUAUCUUCAAAGAAUUUGGUAAAAUCUGGGCUACUGUUUUCUUGAAUGUAUUUCUGUGAUUCACUUUCUAGGUCAAGCGUCCUGUUAAGGAGCAGAAUCUGUAUUACCUUCUCUCACUCCAAUCCGUAGUGUCAAUAAACAUUAUUUUGUGUAAUUUCUGUAGGUCAGAAAUUAAGGAGCAGCUUAGCUGGAUGAUUUUGACCCAGGGUCUCUCAUAAGGUUGCAGUCAAGGUAUCACCUGGGGCUGCAGUCCACUGAAGACUUGACUAGGGCUGGAGGAUCCUUUUCUGAGGGAGCUCACUGACAUGCCUAGCAAGCUGAUGCUGCCUACUGCCAGCCCCAGUUCCUUGCCAUACAGACCUCUUUACAGGGUGCUUGAGUACUGACAUGACAUGCCAGCUGGAUUCCCCCAAAAUGAUCUGCUAAGCCAUAAGAUUUACGCAUGUGGAAGGAGAUUUAUAUGGGCCUUGUCCAGGUUUUCACAUAGUUUAAAAAAAAAAAUUUUUAGAA